UACGGAGGGGGCCAGCGUUGUUCGGAAUUACUGGGCGUAAAGGGCGCGUAGGCGGCCGCGCAAGUCGGUUGUGAAAUCCCUCGGCUCAACCGAGGAACUGCGUCCGAAACUGCGCGGCUCGAGUCCCGGAGAGGGUAGCGGAAUUCCCAGUGUAGCGGUGAAAUGCGUAGAUAUUGGGAGGAACACCAGUGGCGAAGGCGGCUACCUGGACGGGUACUGACGCUGAGGCGCGAAAGCUAGGGGAGCAAACAGG
rnacentral:rRNA from 1 species